GCCUCCCAAGUAGCUGGGACUACAGGCCUGGCCACUGUUAUCAUCAUUUACAGUUACGUCCAGCCUCACCUGCCAGCGCUCUUCACCUGUCUCCUUCCACCCU